rnacentral:rRNA from 1 species
AGUGAACGCUGGCGGUAGGCCUAAUACAUGCAAGUCGAACGGCAGGACAGUAAGAGUUCGCCUUUACGGUUGGCGAGUGACGGAUGGGUGAGAAAUACAUCGGCUUCCUCUUUUUCUUGGGGAACUUCGUAGGGACACUUAUGCUACCACCGCAUUCGUUCUACGGCUGAGUGCAGGGGAGCAUGGCACCCUUCCUGAUACUAUGAGACGAAGUCGGAGUAGCUUGUUGGGUUGGUAAAGGCCCACCAAGGCAACGAUCCGUAGCAUGUCUGAGAGGAUGAUCGGCCACACUGGAACUGAGACACGGUCCAGACUCCUACGGGAGGCAGCAGUGGGGAAUAUUGCGCAAUGGGCGAAAGCCUGAUCCAGCCAUGCCGCGUGAGUGAUGAAGGCCUUCGGAUCGUAAAGCCCUUUUAUUAGGAAAGAAAAGCAGCGGAAGAAACCCCCGCUGUUCUGACGGUACCCAAUGAGAAAGCACCGGCUAACUACGUG